AUCAUUUGUGAUUUUUGAGAUUCUCCCCACAUUAGACUGUUGAAUCAUUCGUAUUUAACAUCAGCGCCAGAAGUUGCAUUAACUUUAAUUUCUAUCACGGCUUAUACAACACGCAAGUUUUAUUCCCCAACUCGAAAAGGAAAAUUGCACCAUGAGAGUUUUCUUUGCUUUUUGCAUCAUACUGAUAUGUUUGUCGGGGUUUGAUCAUACUGAUGCAGCUGUUAAAUGCUUCAAAACUUACUGUAUGAACAAUGAUGGUUGCAGAUUUGGAUGUUUCGCCCGUGGUUGUGGUUACAAACAUUCCUGCAAUGUUAAAGAUCGGCGAUGCUGCUGUGAUGGAUGUAUCUCCGAUGCUGGUUAAUUCGGCACUUUAAAUAUUGUCAAGUGCCGAGAAUGUGUUUAUUCGUGCAUAUAAGAUUAUAACAUUAGUCUACGAUUAAAAAGUUUGGGCAUUUUGAUUGGUAUUUAUACAAAUUGUUAUCCAUCAUCAUUAAUUAUAUUUGAACAUUUCAAUUGUCGAGCAGGAAAACUUUCUAAAUGCUGUAUUAUGCCUAAUAUGCCUAAUGAUUUUGUGCACUGCAAAAAUAAUCACAUUUGUCUAGGACAGUUGCAUUUCUAAAAAUACAUAAACUAUAGUACAAUUCAUA